ensembl:rRNA 5S_rRNA 5S ribosomal RNA
GCUUACGGCCACACCGCCUGGUUCACGCCCGAUCUCGUUUGAUCUCGGAAGCUAAGAUAGGGUUGGCCUGGUUAGUACUUGGAUGGGAGACCGCCUGGGAAUACCAGGUGCUGUAAGAU